AUCAGGUGCUAUCAGUUGCUAUCAGGUGCCAUCAGGUGCUAUCAGGCGGUAUCAGUUGCUAUCGGGUACCAUCAGGGGCUAUACGAUACUAUCAGUUACUUUCAGGUGCUAUCAGUUUCUACCAGGUGUUAACAGGUACCAUCAGUUGCCAUCAGAAACUAUCACUCGCUAUCAGGUACUAUCAGGUGCUGUUAGGUGCUAUCAGGUACUAUCUGGUGCUAUCAGUUGCCAUCAGGUCGCUAUCAAGUGCUAUCAGGUAUUAUCUGGUGCUGUCUGGUGCUAUCAGUUGGAAUCAGUUUCAAUCAGUCACUAUUAAGUGCUAUCAGGUGCUAUCAGUUGCUAUGAAGUGCUACCAGGUGCUAUCAGGCGCUAUCAGUUGCUGUCAGGCGCUAUCAGUUGCUAUCA